UCAUAUGCUUGUCCCAAAGAUUAAGCCAUGCAUGCUAAAGACAACUCGAAGAAUCUCUCGGAAAUCUGCGAACGGCUCCGUAUAUCUGUUAAAACCCGAUGCCACUCAGAAAGGUUGGUAAGCGGAUAUGGCACGGUAAUUCUGUCAGUAAUACGUGUACGUGCAUAGACCCGGCGUGUGUAAGGCCUUUCGGCUGCACCAUGACUCGGGGGCCUCUGGAUGCACACACCCGUGCUGAUUCGGCCAGAGAGACCUGAACUCCAUCAUAAGUCCGCGGCAACGGUUUUCAGACCUAUCAACUAUAGGCCCGUGUCGAGCACGGGUCUGGUUUUAACGGGUACAGAGGAUCAGGGUUCGGUCCUGGAGAGGUAGCCUGAGAGAUCGCUACUACUUCUAAGGAAGGCAGCAGGCGCGCAACGUUCCCAAUGGGGGGAUUAGUUCCCUGAGGACGUGACGGAACAUACCAAUGCCCCGCCCUUAGGGCUGGGGUAAUCGGAAUGGGGGGAUUUCAAACCCUACGACCGAGUAACAAUUGGAG
rnacentral:rRNA from 1 species